rnacentral:lncRNA from 1 species
AGGAUGGCGAUUCGCUGUUUGGUGUCUCGGGUCUGAUCAUGGAGAACGGGAUCCGCAGCACCUCCUGGAAUCCUUUCUGUUCAAACCCAC